CCUACGGGAGGCAGCAGUGAGGAAUAUUGGUCAAUGGACGAGAGUCUGAACCAGCCAAGUAGCGUGAAGGAUGACUGCCCUAUGGGUUGUAAACUUCUUUUAUAAGGGGAUAAAACGAGGCACGUGUGCCUUUUUGCAGGUACUGUAUGAAUAAGGAUCGGCUAAUUCCGUGCCAGCAGCCGCGGUAAUACGGAGGAUCCGAGCGUUAUCCGGAUUUAUUGGGUUUAAAGGGAGCGUAGAUGGGUUGUUAAGUGUGUGGUGAAAGGUUGCGGCUCAACCGUGAAAUUGCAAUUGAUACUGGCAGUCUUGAGUACAGUUGAGGUAGGCGGAAUUCGUGGUGUAGCGGUGAAAUGCUUAGAUAUCACGAAGAACCCCGAUUGCGAAGGCAGCUUACUAAACUGUGACUGACAUUGAUGCUCGAAAGUGUGGGUAUCAAACAGGAUUAGAUACCCUAGUAGUC
rnacentral:rRNA from 1 species